GACGAACGUUGGCGGCGUGCUUAACACAUGCAAGUCGAACGGAAAGGCCCUGCUUUUGUGGGGUGCUCGAGUGGCGAACGGGUGAGUAACACGUGAGUAACCUGCCCUUGACUUUGGGAUAACUUCAGGAAACUGGGGCUAAUACCGGAUAGGAGCUCCUGCUGCAUGGUGGGGGUUGGAAAGUUUCGGCGGUUGGGGAUGGACUCGCGGCUUAUCAGCUUGUUGGUGGGGUAGUGGCUUACCAAGGCUUUGACGGGUAGCCGGCCUGAGAGGGUGACCGGCCACAUUGGGACUGAGAUACGGCCCAGACUCCUACGGGAGGCAGCAGUGGGGAAUAUUGCACAAUGGGCGGAAGCCAGAUGCAGCAACGCCGCGUGCGGGAUGACGGCCUUCGGGUUGUAAACCGCUUUCGCCUGUGACGAAGCGUGAGUGACGGUAAUGGGUAAAGAAGCACCGGCUAACUACGUGCCAGCAGCCGCGGUGAUACGUAGGGUGCGAGCGUUGUCCGGAUUUAUUGGGCGUAAAGGGCUCGUAGGUGGUUGAUCGCGUCGGAAGUGUAAUCUUGGGGCUUAACCCUGAGCGUGCUUUCGAUACGGGUUGACUUGAGGAAGGUAGGGGAGAAUGGAAUUCCUGGUGGAGCGGUGGAAUGCGCAGAUAUCAGGAGGAACACCAGUGGCGAAGGCGGUUCUCUGGGCCUUUCCUGACGCUGAGGAGCGAAAGCGUGGGGAGCGAACAGGCUUAGAUACCCUGGUAGUCCACGCUGUAAACGGUGGGUACUAGGUGUGGGGUCCAUUCCACGGGUUCCGUGCCGUAGCUAACGCUUUAAGUACCCCGCCUGGGGAGUACGGCCGCAAGGCUAAAACUCAAAGGAAUUGACGGGGCCCCGCACAAGCGGCGGAGCAUGCGGAUUAAUUCGAUGCAACGCGUAGAACCUUACCUGGGUUUGACAUGGAUCGGGAGUGCUCAGAGAUGGGUGUGCCUCUUUUGGGGUCGGUUCACAGGUGGUGCAUGCCUGUCGUCAGCUCGUGUCGUGAGAUGUUGGGUUAAGUCCCGCAACGAGCGCAACCCUUGUUCACUGUUGCCAGCACGUUAUGGUGGGGACUCAGUGGAGACCGCCGGGGUCAACUCGGAGGAAGGUGGGGAUGACGUCAAGUCAUCAUGCCCCUUAUGUCCAGGGCUUCACGCAUGCUACAAUGGCUGGUACAGAGAGUGGCGAGCCUGUGAGGGUGAGCGAAUCUCGGAAAGCCGGUCUCAGUUCGGAUUGGGGUCUGCAACUCGACCUCAUGAAGUCGGAGUCGCUAGUAAUCGCAGAUCAGCAACGCUGCGGUGAAUACGUUCCCGGG
rnacentral:rRNA from 1 species